rnacentral:rRNA from 1 species
UUAGUAAUUGCGAAUGAACAAGGAUAUGCUUAGCUUGACAAAUGGAGCUAUUGGCUUUGAAUUGUAUUGUGGAAAUGUAUUACCAACAGAGGUGCAGGUGCCAGCCUAUUGAAAUAAAGCGUCAAUGAGGGUGAGAAUCCUGUUUGUCAUGUGCAGCCCUUUGUGCACGGUGUAUAUUUGCUGAGUCACACUCCUUGGCAUUGGAAUGCAAAGUGGGUGGUAAGUUUCAUGUAAAGGUAAACAUGCAAUUGAGACUGAUAGCACACAAGUACCAUGAGGGAAAUAUGAAAAGGACUUUGAAAAGAGAAUUAAAUGAGUUUGUAUUUGCUGAACACAAAGUAAACAGACUUGAUUUGCUUGGUGGGAGUGUUGCACUUGCUUGACAAGAGCUUUGGGCUGUGGGUGUAAUGAUUCUUUCUUUGCAUGCCAGUUUCUAUUUGUACAUCUGAUUACCUUUGCACAUGAAUGAUAAGUCUCCUGUGGGGGGUGGAUUGCAUGUGCAUGUAAUGAUUUGUGUUUUGAUAAAUGUGUCUGGUGUAUGUGUGUGUUCCUGUGCUUGGGGAUGCUUCCUUCCUUGGACUUACAAGCCCUGACACACACAUGCUGGCAAAAUGCUUCUGCUUGACCCGUCUUGAAACACGGACCAAGGAGUCUAACAGAUGUGCAAAGUUUGAAGGUGGUAUACCUUUGUGUGCAAUGAAAGUGUCAGCUGGGAUAUGUGCACCAGCACCCAAUUAAUUAGCGGACAGAGGUUUGAGUUGGAGCAUAUCUAUUAGGACCCGAAAGAUGGUGAACUAUGCCUGAACAGAAUGAAUUCAGAGGAAACUCUGAUGGAGGUUCGUAUCGAUACUGACGUGCAAAUCGUUCGUCAUAUUUGGGUAUAGGGGCGAAAGACUAAUCGAACCAUCUAGUAGCUGGUUCCCUCCGAAGUUUCCCUCAGGAUAGCUGGAGUUGCUCAGUUUUAUCAGGUAAAGCGAAUGAUUAGAGGAAUUGGGGACAGGUUUGUCUUUGACCUAUUCUCAAACUUUAAAUGGGUAAUAUGUAGUGGUUGCUGUAUGGAACUUCUAAGAUAAAUGGCAAUAUUGGGUGGGCCAUUUUUGGUAAGCAGAACUGGCGAUGAGGGAUGAACCUAAU